AAUCCAUGCAUAAGACACUUCCGCGACAAUUCUUUAAAUCUUUCCCAUGCUUCAUACAAGCUUUCAUCUUCCAUUUCCUUGAAUGAGGUUAAAUUGUUUCGAAGCUU